rnacentral:piRNA from 2 species
UGUGAGUACCAGCAGCCCUGGAGAGC